GUAGGUGGCAAGCGUUGUCCGGAAUUAUUGGGCGUAAAGCGCGCGCAGGCGGUCCUUUAAGUCUGAUGUGAAAGCCCACGGCUCAACCGUGGAGGGUCAUUGGAAACUGGGGGACUUGAGUACAGAAGAGGAAAGCGGAAUUCCAAGUGUAGCGGUGAAAUGCGUAGAGAUUUGGAGGAACACCAGUGGCGAAGGCGGCUUUCUGGUCUGUAACUGACGCUGAGGCGCAAAGCGUGGGGAGCAAACAGGAUUAGAUACCCUGGUAGUCCACGCCGUAAACGAUGAGUGCUAAGUGUUAGGGGGUUUCCCGCCCCCUUAGUGCUGCAGCUAACGCAUUAAGCACUCCGCCUGGGGGAGUACGGCCGCAAGGCUG
rnacentral:rRNA from 1 species